UACGAAGGGGGCUAGCGUUGCUCGGAAUCACUGGGCGUAAAGCGCACGUAGGCGGAUUGUUAAGUCAGGGGUGAAAUCCUGGAGCUCAACUCCAGAACUGCCUUUGAUACUGGCGAUCUCGAGUCCGGGAGAGGUGAGUGGAACUGCGAGUGUAGAGGUGAAAUUCGUAGAUAUUCGCAAGAACACCAGUGGCGAAGGCGGCUCACUGGCCCGGUACUGACGCUGAGGUGCGAAAGCGUGGGGAGCAAACAGGGAUUAAGAAACCCCGGUGAG
rnacentral:rRNA from 1 species